UUUACUAUUUUUUAGGGCGCGUCGGGUUCGCAUUACAAAAGAUUUCUAGGAAUAAAAAGAUGUCUAAAAAUUUUAUUCUUAUUCAUCUUAUUACUAAGAAUAUGAUAUUUAUGUGAUCGGUUCGUACGGUCAUAUUAUUUAAGAUUAUAAAAAAUAUACAAUUUAUUUAUUUAUUUUUUUAAUUAUUUUUAGAUAAUGCUAUAAAAAAUUUCAACAUAUUUUUUUUAAAAAGGGAUAGAGAGCAUAGGUUAGAGAGAGAGAGCAUAAUUAAAAAAAUAGAAAGAGAAAUAAAGUCGAAAUUAGAGGGAGUGGAGAGUUGAGAUUUUAGAAAAAGAGGGAGAGAGAAAGCUUAGUUUAGAGAGAGAAAAACAGUUGAAUUUUAGAGAAAAAAGGAUAAGUUUAGAGAAAGAUAUGAGAUUAGAGUGUAAAAAAAAAUAAUACCAAUUAGUCAGCGGGUAGAGAAAAAGAAAGAAAUUAGACAAAUUAUAAUUACCCCAAUCUAUUAAUAUAAGGAUACCUACUAUCCUUCAAGGAAAUGAGAUUAAUACUUUGGAAUGAAUCUCAUGUCCAAAUAAAUUUAAUAUUAUCAACUAGAUUACUUAGUAUGCUUAGCCAAACACUGUCAUUAUUUUUUAUUUCUAUUGAAUUAUUAGAAAUCUUAAAAAGAUGGUGCGAACCAAAGACACCUUAAGGUAAUCCCUUUCCAUCUCUUAAUUUCAUUCGGUUCCUCGAACCAAAGACACCUUAAGGUAAUCCCUUUCCAUCUCUUAAUUUCAUU
rnacentral:lncRNA from 1 species